GUCCCAGACUCCUACGGGAGGCAGCAGUGGGGGAUAUUGCACAAUGGGGGAACCCUGAUGCAGCGACGCCGCGUGAAGGAAGAAGUAUCUCGGUAUGUAAACUUCUAUCAGCAGGGAAGAAAAUGACGGUACCUGACUAAGAAGCCCCGGCUAACUACGUGCCAGCAGCCGCGGUAAUACGUAGGGGGCAAGCGUUAUCCGGAUUCACUGGGUGUAAAGGGAGCGUAGACGGCCAUGCAAGCCUGGAGUGAAAGCCCGGGGCCCAACCCCGGGACUGCUCUGGGAACUGUGCGGCUGGAGUGCGGGAGGGGCAGGCGGAAUUCCUGGUGUAGCGGUGAAAUGCGUAGAUAUCAGGAGGAACACCGGCGGCGAAGGCGGCCUGCUGGACCGCGACUGACGUUGAGGCCCGAAAGCGUGGGGAGCAAACAGGAUUAGAUACCCCCGUAU
rnacentral:rRNA from 1 species